UAGCUCUGUCAGUAGAGCAUGAGACUCUUAAUCUCAGGGUCGUGGGUUCGUGCCCCAC
rnacentral:tRNA from 1 species